rnacentral:lncRNA from 1 species
AAGGCGCUGGAGUGGCUGUGUGGUAAGUAACUUGCUUACCAAACACAUGGUUCCGGGUUCGGUUCCACUGCGUAGCACCUUGGGCAAGUGUCUUCUACUAUAGCCUCGGGACGACCACAGUCAUGUGAGUAGAUUUGAUUGACGGAAACUGUAAGAAGCCUGUCGUAUAUAUAUAUAUAUGUAUACAUGUAUGUGUGUGUGUUUGUGUUUGUCCCCCUAACAUCACUUGACAACCGAUGCUGGUGUGUUUACGGCCCCGUAACUUAGCGGUUCGGCAAAGUAAAUGAUAGAAUAAUUACUAGGCUUGCAAAGAAUAAGUCCUGCGGUAAAUUUGCUCGACUAAAGGCUUUGCUCCAGCGUGGCCGCAGUCAAAUGACUGAAACAAAUAAAACAAUGCACACACACACACACACACACACACACACACACACACACAUAUAUACAUAUAAUCAUACAUAUAGUCAACGUCGCUGAUGAUUGCCUUCUCGUGUUUUGCUUUUCUGAUUUUCCAUCCAUGACCUCCCAGAUGACUAUUUAAUUCCGUUUCCGUUCAACUUGGUUUGAAGUAUAAGUGACAUACAUACAUAUAUACAUACAUACAUAUAACGAGAGGGCGUGGCCUAGUGGUUAUGGUGUUACAUUCAGAAUCAUGAGAUUGUGGUUUCGAUUCCUUUUGCUGCAAUCCAAGGAGACAAUUCUUUGCUUAGAUUUAUAUAAAAACAUAUUUUAUUUUGGGUCGUGAGUGACGUCACUGGAUCGCAAGACGAGCGUGUUUCUGCCUUGCUCCUUUUCAUCAGCAACAUUGACAAGCGUUACUCGCACGAACACUACUUUCCCAUUUUAGAUUCUCAAUGACCAUGAACAAACACCUCUAUAUGAUUGCAUCAUCGGCAAGAAAAAGUAGCCAAACUUCUCUGAGCUCAAACCAGACCAUCUUAAAUCUAUUUAAGAUUACAUUAGACACAUGAUGCUAAAUACUACACGGGAUGGCUAUGGCUGGAACUCUUUGAAUGAUAUAUCUUUAUCAGGACUGACCUGAGCAAUGCACCCUCCCCCGACCGCCACCAACAUCUACAGGAAAUGCAUUUCCAUAUCCAGGAUUGUUAUUCUAUUUGACUUAGAACAGUAAAACUGCAGAAAUGUAUGAACGCCAACCAGUUCCUCUGGAAACCGCAGGAAUAUAAUGUCGGUCACAUUGAAAGAAAACGUUUUUUCCAAAGCUGCGACGAUCACGGAGAUUUGUUUUCUAUCGGAUUCUUCCAUCUUUUUCUCUUUUUCCCUCCUUUAUAUUUGCAUUUCACUUUAUCAAUAGUUUCUUUCUUUCCUUCUUUCUUUCUUUCUUUUUUUCUUUCUUUCUUUCUUUCCUUCCUUUUUUUCUUUCUUUCUUUCUUUCCUUCUUUCUUUCUUUCUUUUUUUCUUUCUUUGUUUCUUUGUUUCUUUGUUUCUUUGUUUCUUUGUUUCUUUGUUUCUCUCUCUUUGUUUCUCUCUCUCUUUCUCUCUCUUUCUUUCUCUCUCUCUUUCUCUCUCUUUCUUUCUCCCUUCCUUCCUUUCUUUCUGCCUUUUUUUCAUUCUUUUUCUUACUAUCAAAUUUUCUUUCGUUAAUCGAUCUGAUCGUCCCCAUUCUUUCUCGCUUCAUCUAUCCACCCAUUUACCUGCCUAUUGACUAAGCACUAACCUACCUCCCUCCCUCCAUCCCUCCCACCCUCCUUCCAUCCCGACCUACCUACCUACCUACCUACCUACCUACCUACCUACCUACCUACCUACAUACAUACAUACCUGUCUGUCUGUCUGUCUCGUCACAUCCAACCAAACUCUUCAUCUAAUAAUCAUAACUGUAAUCAAUCAAUAUCACAAAUGAUGGAUGUACCCGCCUACGUUUCUUGUCAUCCCCCCCCCCCACCGCCGCCGCUCCCAUACUCACCACGAUCCCCGACCCCACACCAUUCGACAUCGGAACAACCCCAUCCUCCGCCUCCAAUGCAUACACACCCCAACUUACUUCACUUUAAAAGUAGUUUUACCCACAAAUCUGCCCCUCCACCUCUUACCAUUCCUCGUACCACUCCACCUCUUCGUCGACUUCCUCCCCUUACUAUAUCAUCUUCUCCUACCCUCACUCCCUCACUCUGUCUUGGUUUCUCCUCAUCUUCCGUGCUCCCCAGUUACAGCUGUGGCUUUCAUUGUGUGAAAGGGGUGCACCACACACGUCCUUCCCAGGGGUGCGUAUUUCUAUACGUCUACAUACACAUACAUCCAAACAUCUACAGAUGCACACACACACACACACACACACACACACAUACACACACACACACAUAUAUAUAUAUAUACAUACAUACAUACAUACAUACAUACAUACAUACAUACAUACAUAUAUAUAUAUACUCACAUAUAUGCAUGUAUAUAAAUAUAUACAUAUUUAUCUAUAUUCGUACGCACACAUAUAUAUCUAUAUCAAUAUCAAUCUAUUUGUCCAUCUCUCUGUUUGUCCGCCUUUUUGCCAGCGUGCCUGUCUGCUUGCCUAUCUAUCUAUCUAUCUAUCUAUCUAUCUAUCUAUCUAUCUAUCUAUCUAUCUAUCUAUCUAUCUCACUCUCUCUCUCUCUCUCUAUCUAUCUAUCUAUCUAUCUAUCUAUCUAUCUAGAUAGAUAGAUAUAUAGAUAGAUAGAUAGAUAGAUAUAAAUACAUAGGCACCCAUACCUGAGAGGAGUAUCCACAAGGUCGGCCACUAAAUAAAACGUAAUAUUUUCUAGAUUUUUCGUACUGUCUUUGUCUCUUACAUACACAAAAAUGAAAGGUGGCCAAAAGGAUAAAAAUGACUGGCUUAAAUUCAUGAUAUCUAAAUUAAUUCAAAAUAUUUGAAAUUCUUUUAUAAAAUUCAUUAGUGACGCAAAAUACCAAAUGUCUCAAUAUUAUUUAAAAGGCGGCAAGCUGGCAGAAACGCUAACACGCCGGGGCGAAAUGCUUAGUGGUAUUUCCUCUGUCUUUACGUUCUGAGUUCAAAUUCCGUCGAAGUCGACUUCGUCUUUCAUCCCUUCGGGGGGACAAUAAAUUAAGUACCAGCUGCGUAUUGGGGUCGAUCUAAUCGACUACCCCCCAUUCUCCAAAAUCACGGACCUUGUGCUUAGAGUAGAAAUGAAUGUUAUUUAAACACGAGAAAUGGAGGCAGUGGGGUCCUCUUGAAGGAAAAAUAUGUGAGGGGCCAGAUGCUUAAGUGGUGUUUUGGCACAACAUAUUUAACUUUGAAGAAGUUUUCCUUCAACCGGUUGUCAUCGGCGAUUGCUUAGAGCUGCAUGGUACUUUAGCUAAUCUCUUUGAGUACCAUAUCUCUUAGCGUACCAUUCUCUCUGUCAGUCUGUCUAUCUGCCUGUGCAUUCGUCAGUCACUUCCUUUUGACGAUCAACAACAACAACAACAACAAUAAUGCUAAUAAUGCGAGAGGGUAAUGUUAAAGUGAUACCAGUGGUGAUCGGAAUGUUGGGCACAAGCCCAUUGAAACUUCGAAACUUCUUAAGGCAACUGGAAAUUCCAUGCAAGAUUGAUGUCUUGCUAAAAACAGCCUUAUUGGGCACAGCGCACAUCUUAAGGGUAGUAUUAUCUAUCUGAGGUCCUUGUUGUGACUUGACAGAUGACUAAAGACUCCGGUGCAUUUUUUCCUACACUGUGUUGCGAAGGAAUACUACUACUACUACUACUACUACUACUACUACUACUAAUAAUAAUAAUAAUAAUAACAAUAAUAUUGGUUUCAAAUUUUGCCACAAGGGCAGCAAUUUUGGGGGAGAGGAUGAGUCGAUUACAUCGACCCCAGUGUUCAACUGGUACUUAUUUCAUCGACCCUGAAAGGAUGAAAGACGAAGUCAACCUCAGCAGAAUUUGAACCCAGAACGAAAUACUUCUAAGCAUUUUACCCGGCGUGCUUACAAUUCUGCCAGCUCACCGCCUGAACAACAACAACAACAACAACAACAACAACAACAACAACAAUAAUAAUAAUAAUAAUCCUUUCUAGUAUAGGCACAAAGCCAGUAAUUUCAAGCGAGAGGAUAAGUCGAUUACACCGCCCCCUGUGUUCUGAUGGUACUUAUUUUAUCGAUUCCAAAGGGGUGAAAGGUAAAGUCGAAAUUGAAGAGCUUGAAGACGGACGAAAUAACACUAAGCAUAUUUUCCGGCAUUCUAAUGAUUAUACCUGCUCAGUUAACAAGUCUGGUUUUAUAACAGAACCGGCGGCUCUGACAGAGGAUAAGAUUUUUUUUCGAAAUUUUAUAGGGCUUUCACAUAAACACUGAGUAUAGUAUUGAAAGGAGGAGGCACGUGGCUUAGUGGUUAAGGUGUCGGACUCAUGAUCGUAAGAUUGUGGUUUCGAUUCUUGGACCAGGUGAUGUGUUGUGUUCUUGAGCAAAACACUUCAUUUCGCGUUUCUCCAGUUCAAUGGUGUAUAUGUAUUCUCGUCCAGGUGGGGAAUACAUAUACACCAUUGAAACCGGCCCUUAAUGGGUCAGCAUCACCCGAGAAGGUAACUUCAUCUCGCUUUUGAACUAUUGAAGAAAACCUGGUAUGCUUGUAGAUGACAAAAGAAACAGUGCAAGAUCAUAGACUUUGUCAUACCAUAUCAUAACAGAAUGGAUUCCAAAGAAAUUCAAGAAAAUCGAGAAAUAUCUGGACAUAAGCAGAGGUUCUGGAAGAGAAAGGAAACAGUCAUUUCUGUAGCAACUGGUGCACUUGGCACAUGACCCAAAACUAGUGCUCAAAAGAUUGAAGGAUAUUGGAACACAGACUCGUUGACCUGCAAUGUGCCACCCUAUAUUCUGCAAGAAUACCAAGGAAUAUUCGUAAAACUGGAGAAGAUUUGAUGCCACCAGAAAACUCCAGACGAUAUCACUGCUGGUUAAAUUAGCUUGCGAGAGCUUUGGAACAGUGAUGAUAAUGAUGAUGAUGAUGAUAAUGAUGGUGAUGAUGAUAACGAUGAUGGUGAUGAUGAUAACGAUGAUGGUGAUGAU